UACAGAGGUCCCGAGCGUUGUUCGGAUUCAUUGGGCGUAAAGGGUGCGUAGGCGGCGGGGAAAGUCUGAUGUGAAAUCCUGGGGCUCAACCCUGGAACUGCAUUGGAUACUUCCUUGCUAGAGUACUGGAGAGGAAACUGGAAUUUACGGUGUAGCAGUGAAAUGCGUAGAGAUCGUAAGGAAGACCAGUGGCGAAGGCGAGUUUCUGGACAGUUCCUGACACUGAGGCACGAAGGCCAGGGGAGCAAACGGG
rnacentral:rRNA from 1 species